rnacentral:rRNA from 1 species
AUGAGACGACUCUUUCUUGAACAAUUUCAUAAGCAGAUCUUCCCCUCCACACCAAUCACGAGUUUUUUUUUCCUCUCGUAUAUCGUCGUCACACCCUUAAUGAUAGGUUUUGAAAAAGAUUUUUCAUGUCACUCCCAUUUAGGUUCAAUUUGGAUCCCUCUGUUAUUUCCCUUUCCUCCCGAACCUUUUCCUCGAAAUGAUAAAGAAUCUGGUACACUCGAAUUGUAUUAUUUAAGUGCUUAUUGCUUGCCAAAAAUCCUGGUAGGUCACCGGGUUAUUCAAAUAAGUCAUGUUUUCUGUGCUUUUCCCAUGUUACAACUUCCGUACCAAUUUGAUUGA